GCGCCCAUAGCUCAGUGGAUAGAGCAAUUGACUUCUAAUCAAUUGGCCGCAGGUUCGAGUCCUGCUGGGCGCG
rnacentral:tRNA from 1 species